GUUACUGCGAAGGGGGGACGGAGAAGGCUAUGUUGGCCGGGCGACGGUUGUCCCGGUUUAAGCGUGUAGGCUGGUUUUCCAGGCAAAUCCGGAAAAUCAAGGCUGAGGCGUGAUGACGAGGCACUACGGUGCUGAAGCAACAAAUGCCCUGCUUCCAGGAAAAGCCUCUAAGCAUCAGGUAACAUCAAAUCGUACCCCAAACCGACACAGGUGGUCAGGUAGAGAAUACCAAGGCGCUUGAGAGAACUCGGGUGAAGGAACUAGGCAAAAUGGUGCCGUAACUUCGGGAGAAGGCACGCUGAUAUGUAGGUGAAGUCCCUUGCGGAUGGAGCUGAAAUCAGUCGAAGAUACCAGCUGGCUGCAACUGUUUAUUAAAAACACAGCACUGUGCAAACACGAAAGUGGACGUAUACGGUGUGACGCCUGCCCGGUGCCGGAAGGUUAAUUGAUGGGGUCAGCGCAAGCGAAGCUCUUGAUCGAAGCCCCGGUAAACGGCGGCCGUAACUAUAACGGUCCUAAGGUAGCGAAAUUCCUUGUCGGGUAAGUUCCGACCUGCACGAAUGGCGUAAUGAUGGCCAGGCUGUCUCCACCCGAGACUCAGUGAAAUUGAACUCGCUGUGAAGAUGCAGUGUACCCGCGGCAAGACGGAAAGACCCCGUGAACCUUUACUAUAGCUUGACACUGAACAUUGAGCCUUGAUGUGUAGGAUAGGUGGGAGGCUUUGAAGUGUGGACGCCAGUCUGCAUGGAGCCGGCCUUGAAAUACCACCCUUUAAUGUUUGAUGUUCUAACGUGGACCCGUGAUCCGGGUUGCGGACAGUGUCUGGUGGGUAGUUUGACUGGGGCGGUCUCCUCCUAAAGAGUAACGGAGGAGCACGAAGGUUGGCUAAUCCUGGUCGGACAUCAGGAGGUUAGUGCAAUGGCAUAAGCCAGCUUGACUGCGAGCGUGACGGCGCGAGCAGGUGCGAAAGCAGGUCAUAGUGAUCCGGUGGUUCUGAAUGGAAGGGCCAUCGCUCAACGGAUAAAAGGUACUCCGGGGAUAACAGGCUGAUACCGCCCAAGAGUUCAUAUCGACGGCGGUGUUUGGCACCUCGAUGUCGGCUCAUCACAUCCUGGGGCUGAAGUAGGUCCCAAGGGUAUGGCUGUUCGCCAUUUAAAGUGGUACGCGAGCUGGGUUUAGAACGUCGUGAGACAGUUCGGUCCCUAUCUGCCGUGGGCGCUGGAGAACUGAGGGGGGCUGCUCCUAGUACGAGAGGACCGGAGUGGACGCAUCACUGGUGUUCGGGUUGUCAUGCCAAUGGCACUGCCCGGUAGCUAAAUGCGGAAGAGAUAAGUGCUGAAAGCAUCUAAGCACGAAACUUGCCCCGAGAUGAGUUCUCCCUGACCCUUUAAGGGUCCUGAAGGAACGUUGAAGACGACGACGUUGAUAGGCCGGGUGUGUAAGCGCAGCGAUGCGUUGAGCUAACCGGUACUAAUGAACCGUGAGGCUUAACCUU
rnacentral:rRNA from 1 species